AGUCAUAUGCUUGUCUCAAAGAUUAAGCCAUGCAUGUCUAAGUACAAACUAAAUUAAAGUGAAACCGCGAAAGGCUCAUUAAAUCAGUUAUGGUUCCUUAGAUCGUACCACAAUUACUUGGAUAACUGUGGUAAUUCUAGAGCUAAUACAUGCAAACAGAGCUCUGACCGGAGACGGAAGGAGUGCUUUUAUUAGAUCAAAACUAAUCGGCGGCGGUAACGUUUCGGCGUUAUCGUUCGAUCUGCGCCUACCAUGGUUGUAACGGGUAACGGGGAAUCAGGGUUCGAUUCCGGAGAGGGAGCCUGAGAAACGGCUACCACAUCCAAGGAAGGCAGCAGGCGCGCAAAUUACCCACUCCCGGCACGGGGAGGUAGUGACGAAAAAUAACGAUACGGGACUCAUCCGAGGCCCCGUAAUCGGAAUGAGUACACUUUAAAUCCUUUAACAAGGACCAAUUGGAGGGCAAGUCUGGUGCCAGCAGCCGCGGUAAUUCCAGCUCCAAUAGCGUAU
rnacentral:rRNA from 1 species